rnacentral:rRNA from 1 species
CAGCGCCGCGGGAAUACGUAGGGUGCGAGCGUUAAACGGAAUUACUGGGCGUAAAGCGUGCGCAGGCGGUUGUGUAAGACAGGUGUGAAAUCCCCGGGCUUAACCUGGGAACUGCGCUUGUGACUGCACAGCUAGAGUAUGGCAGAGGGGGGUGGAAUUCCACGUGUAGCAGUGAAAUGCGUAGAGAUGUGGAGGAACACCGAUGGCGAAGGCAGCCCCCUGGGCCAAUACUGACGCUCAUGCACGAAAGCGUGGGGAGCAAACAGGAUUAGAUACCCCUGUAGUCCCUGUCUCUUAUACC